UUCAACUGAUUUUUAUACGACCACAAAAAAAUUUUGUGGUCGUAUAUUGGUAUGACGUUGGCAUGGUCGUCUGAAGACACAUUGGUUUUCGCACUCUAACUUUAGUUUAAGUGAAUGGAUCUCUAUGAAAUUUUACCAUAAGGUUCAAUACCACAAAAGGAAGGUUGGGAUUGAUUUUUGGGGUUAUGGUACCAACAGUUAAGGAAUUAGGGGCCAAAAAUAAGCAUUUUUGUAACUUCCAGACAUAACUUGUGUGUUAGUUUAUGGAUCUCUCUGAUAUUGUACCACAAGGUUCCAUAUCACAAAGGGAAUGCUGGGAUUGAUUUGGGGGGUAAUUGCCUCAAAAUUUUAGGAAUUAGGGGCCAAAAAAGGGGCAAAAAACAAGCAUUUUUCUAGUUUCAUGACAAUAACUUGUGUGUAAUUUUUUUAUACGACCGCAAAAAGAUUUUUGUGGUCGUAUAUUGGUAUGACGUUGGCGUCGUCGUCGUCCGAAGACGCAUUAGUUUUCGCACUCUAACUUUAGUUUAAGUGAAUGGAUCUCUAUGAAAUUUUACCAUAAGGUUCAAUACCACAAAAGGAAGGUGGGGAUUGAUUUUGGGGGUUAUGGUACCAACAGUUAAGGAAUUAGGGGCCAAAAAGGGACCAAAAAUAAGCAUUUUCUAGUUUCCAGACAAUAACUGUGGAAUGGUGUAUGGAUCUCUCUGAAAUUAUACUACAAGUUUCCAUACCACAAAGGGAUGGUUAGGAUUUGCUUUGGGGGGUUAUGGCUCAAACCGUUUAAGAAUUAGGGGCAAAAAAGGGGGAAAAACAAGGUUGUCCUGGUUAAUGGACAAAUACUUUAGUACAAAACAUAAUUUAAAGCAGUGUAAGGGAGAUAAAUCAAAUACAUCAUUGAAAUUAUCUCCCUUACACUGCUUUUAAAUUAUGUAUAAAGUAAUGGUUAAUGAACAA